GCUUACGGCCACACCACCCUGAGCGCGCCCGAUCUCGUCUGAUCUCGGAAGCUAAGCAGGGUCGGGCCUGGUUAGUACUUGGAUGGGAGACCGCCUGGGAAUACCAGGUGCCGUAAUCU
rnacentral:rRNA from 1 species